rnacentral:rRNA from 1 species
UACAGAGGGUGCGAGCGUUAAUCGGAAUUACUGGGCGUAAAGCGCACGUAGGUGGCGACGUAAGUCGGGUGUGAAAGCCCCGGGCUCAACCUGGGAAUUGCAUUCGAGACUGCAUAGCUAGGGUGCGGAAGAGGGAAGCGGAAUUUCCGGUGUAGCGGUGAAAUGCGUAGAUAUCGGAAGGAACACCAGUGGCGAAAAGCGGCUUCCUGGUCCAGCACCGACGUUCAGGCACGAAAGCGUGGGGAGCAACAGG